ensembl:lncRNA
CUAAAUCCCACAGCAAGACAAUCAAAUGUCUCUAUCAGGAAGCACAUUCGUCCACUUCCUCUUCCCCUCUCUUCUACAACCACUUUCCAGGGAGAGCAAAAGUCUAGUCAGCAUAAUAAAACCUGCCACGUCAGCCUAAUGAGGGUCAUGUGUGUUUUUUCAAACAUCCCUUAAGGGCUUCAGUUCAUCUCAUCAAGGCUGUUUCCCUUGGUGUUUUUAUCAGAAAACUUUGUGCAUGACAGUCAAUACGUGCUUAUGCAAAUCAAUAAGGUAGGCAACAGUGCAGCUCUGACGCUGGACUUAAGCUGAGACUUAAUUGGCAUCUAGGAAGUAAAAAAGACUUUUGUUUUCUAAUUCCUUCUUGUUAGGACUCAUUGGAAACCCACCAUAGUUUUAUGGGCUAUCAGAUCAAGUUAAUUGUAAUAAGGAUCCAUCUUAAAUUCUCACCAAAGGGCUGUUCUUAAAGUGGCAUUGUCUUAAAUGGUCCCUUAGCACAGACUAGAGGACAGUGUAAUUGCAAAGUGAGCAGAUGGUCUGGGUGGACUGAAAAUAUGGAUAUCACCUGUCUGUCCUGGGUGGCCAGCCAGAUGCAAAUCCAUUUGGGAUAAAGACUUUAGGCUAGAAGCCAAUGGCCUCCAAAUGGGAAGUUUUAUCUUUUCCCUGAGGAAUAUGAAGACGGGAGUUGAGACAUCAUACACCAUUGGACAAAGUAGAUGGAAACAUUCUUUGUUCUAAGGAGAAAGCCAAGUGCACAUGCAUGAGCAAACCAGAUUACACAAGGUUGAAGAGUAGCUGCUUGAUGCCUUGUCCAGGCUCAGGUUGGGACCAGGGCCAUAGGAUGUUUGACCAUCAUCUGAGCACGGAGUUACAAGAGGGGUUCAAGUUCAAGUUCUCAGAAGUCUGCUGCCCUGGCACCAAAAUUCUGGCCUCAUGCCACCCUAACGAUGAACUGAGAAUCAUUAUGAAUUCCCAGGGGAAGUACCUCCACAUUUUAAUUCCUUAUGGUCAUGUGGUGGGAAGCCCAGCUGAAGAGAACUUUCAGAUUAAAGACAAGGAAGAAACCUGA